GUCUAUGGCCAUACCACCCUGAACGUGCCUGAUCUCGUCUGAUCUUGGAAGCUAAGCAGGGUCCAGCGUGGUUAGUACUUGGAUGGGAGAAAUACCAGUGCUCAGCCACAGCCA
rnacentral:rRNA from 1 species